rnacentral:rRNA from 1 species
CCCAAUGUGAACGUUACCAAUCUGUUGCCUCGGCGGGAUUCUCUGCCCCGGGCGCGUCGCAGCCCCGGAUCCCAUGGCGCCCGCCGGAGGACCAACUCAAACUCUUUUUUCUCUCCGUCGCGGCUUCCGUCGCGGCUCUGUUUUACCUUUGCUCUGAGCCUUUCUCGGCGACCCUAGCGGGCGUCUCGAAAAUGAAUCAAAACUUUCAACAACGGAUCUCUUGGUUCUGGCAUCGAUGAAGAACGCAGCGAAAUGCGAUAAGUAAUGUGAAUUGCAGAAUUCAGUGAAUCAUCGAAUCUUUGAACGCACAUUGCGCCCGCCAGUAUUCUGGCGGGCAUGCCUGUCCGAGCGUCAUUUCAACCCUCGAACCCCUCCGGGGGGUCGGCGUUUGGGGAUCGGCCCCUCACCGGGCCGCCCCCGAAAUACAGUGGCGGUCUCGCCGCAGCCUCUCCUGCGCAGUAGUUUGCACACUCGCACCGGGAGCGCGGCGCGGCCACAGCCGUAAAACACCCCAAACUCUGAAAUGUUGACCUCGGAUCAGGUAGGAAUACCCGCUGAACUUAAGCAUAUCA